AUGAAUUUUGAAUGUCAUUGGAGACCGAGUCAAAUUCAACCCCCAUAACUUUGCAAGAACGAAUGGAGUAGGCCUGAUCCAUCUUCUAUACAGAUUAAGAUGUUGUGCUUAGUCCAGAAAGCCAUAGUAGGUUACGUAGACUGGUACUUUACAGCUACAUAUAAAGAUUUUGUGCUUAGUCCAGAAAGCCAUAGUAGGUUAUGUAGACUGGUAGUUUACAGUUACAUAUAAGAUUUUGUGCUUAGUCCAGAAAGCCAUAGUAGGUUAUGUAGACUGAUACUUUACAGCUACAUAUUAGAUUUUGUGCAUAGCUCUAAUAGCCAUAGUAAGUUAUGGGACUGGUACAUGUACAUUUAGAGGUAAGCAACAUUGACAAAUUCAUGUAUGUUCCUCUGUCAUG